rnacentral:rRNA from 1 species
CAGCAGCCGCGGUAACACGUAGGUGGCAAGCGUUGUCCGGAAUUAUUGGGCGUAAAGGGCUCGCAGGCGGUUUCUUAAGUCUGAUGUGAAAGCCCCCGGCUCAACCGGGGAGGGUCAUUGGAAACUGGGAAACUUGAGUGCAGAAGAGGAGAGUGGAAUUCCACGUGUAGCGGUGAAAUGCGUAGAGAUGUGGAGGAACACCAGUGGCGAAGGCGACUCUCUGGUCUGUAACUGACGCUGAGGAGCGAAAGCGUGGGGAGCGAACAGGAUUAGAGACCCGAGUAGUCCCUGUCUCUUAUAC